rnacentral:lncRNA from 1 species
AUGGAUCCCUUACCCCUGACACUGACUGGACAUUCUCCAUGGAACGAGGCCGACACUCCUCAAACCCGCGACCUAAAGCACUUACGAGCCAAACGUGUGGCUUACUAUGAAUGCAUUGGGAUCAUCAAGAGCGAUGCUUCCAGAAAUGGCAGCCAAGCUGUGUCAAAAGCUUCCCAAGACAACAAAGUGAAUCCCUCAGAAAGCCAAACCUUCGGGGUGAGACCUCAGAGGUCACCGCGUUACUCGGCAGUUGGAAAGAAACCUCUGCGCGAGGAAAGGUCCAAAGUGGCUCCUGGAGAAGCAGAGCAGUGUCAGGACCACAGGGCCCAGGAGGGGCCCAAGGGAAACAGCUGCCCAACAGAACUGGAUCUCCAUCUGUUGGCCGAUGCUUUGGUCCCUGAGACACAGAAGCUGCGACAUGUUAUAAAUUGGGCCCAGAAGUUCUUGUCCAACCCUCCAGAAGAGCGUGGGUUGAAGAGGUCCACAACUUCUCUAGGACUCCCUCUGUCUAACCUUUAUCAAAGUUCAGAAGCUCUAGGAAGUAAGCGAAGUGCCCAUCUGAGGUCAUCUGAUUCUCUACCCCUGAACAGAGAAGACCAGUCCAGCACACAGACAGACAUUCCCAGCUGCCCUUCAAGGCCCCAAAAGAGCUGGUCAGAAACAAGCUUGUCUUCAGAAUUUCCAGGUUCCUUCCUGAAGGAGGGUUUUCUGGGCAGUCACUCUUGUGGGUGGCAAGAAACUACAUUUAGGAACGAAGGGGAGGGAAGAACCACUACGAGCUCUCCUGAUAGUCUUCAGAUGGAAGAUUCUGCUCAAGAAAAGUAUGAGAGAGCAGGAGAUAUUCAGACCCCCAAUGAGGACGAGAUGUUUCCCGAGGGGCUGGGGGCUCAGCUACAGUUGAGACACACUUCUGAAGAAAGUAAGGUUUUAGAGGAAACCAGACAGAACCCACCCAGAAAUGGUUACUUCUGGACUCCACUGACAGACAGCUCAGAGGAGGAGCGUUUGGAUGAACCUGGGGAGAGCAGAGGCACACCCGGAAGGAGUGUGCUAGGGAGGAGGUGCAGAGGGUUUUCAGGAAUUGCCUUGUCUCCCACAAGUGACAGCACACUAGUGUCAAAGACCAUGGUGCUGAGUGCGGCUUCCUUCCCUCAGGAAACACCCCUGGAGGCUGAAGUCAGGGAGGAGCGCAGAGGAGCAGCACAGUUCCCUGUGGGGACCCCCAAGGAUGUCACAGUGGAAUUCAGGGCUGACAGUUCCAGAGGUGAAGACCCCAUCCAGAGACUGCUUGAGGGUCAACGUAUGCCCCGCUAUGACAGCUCCAGUGAAAGGAGAAAGGAAUCAGACCAUGUGGGGUUCACUUUGGGGCCCCCUCAGACUUAUAUUAAGCAUAAAAAUGAGUGGAAACACAUCAUCACAGAGAGAGCGGGGAAGACUAUCACGGGGAGAGUACAAAGAGGCGGUCCGAACAGGAGUGUGCAGAGUUCUGCUGAAAGCAGUGCUCCUGUGACAACUCAGAGGCAGUUUGCUCUAACUCAGCCUGAAAGUUAUUUGGCCCCUCAGAUUGCCAGCCUCUUGCUGAAUGUCUCAGAGGGCCCCUUGCAGAAUGCUGCGUUUCAUGGACGCACAGGUGCCGGUGUCUUCUGUGGACCCACUGCAGAUGCACAUGGUGCACGUGGCAGCACUUGGUUUGACGAAGUGCCACCAUCUGAGAUGAAUGACAGAUCAGUACAGACACCUCGAAUGAUCACCAGGCAGACAACUCAUGAGCAAAAGGAAAAGACACUGCCUUCAAGUUGCCCCAUUUCUGGAGAGAUUUCCAAAACUGGUUUGAAGGGAUCCUUCCCACUCCAGGAUGUUGGCCUCUCCUGGAGUGAUGAGCCGCCCCAUGAACAGGAGCCAGGGGCCAGUGUACUGGAGACAUAUUAUUAUUAUUUGCAUAUGUUCAACAAAAUCAAGAGUCUCUCUUCAGAAGAGAGGAGCUCCUCUUUGCCUUCCCAGGAGCCUAGACUGUCCAAAUCAGAGUCAGUAAUCACAUCUCCACGAGGGAAGGGCAAGUCCAAAGGGGCCAGCCUGGACAGGGAGACCAAGGAAUGGAGAGAUGGGAGUGAGAGCGAUGCGGCUGUGGAAGGGAAGUUAUGCUCUGCUUCCCCCAAAAUGACAUCCAGAAUGACCAGCAGUGAGGGAUACUGGGAAAUGUCCAGCCCUGCAUGUUCAUCUCGCAAACACGGAGAUGUGAAGCCAAGAUCUCAAACCAUUUUGAGACCAAGCUCAGCUGAAGCAGAAGAGAGAACCUCCGCUGGGACUUAUUCCAGUGCUUAUGCUGUUGGAUCUGUUGAAAAAUUCCUUUGCAAGAAUGUGCCUCAAGAUGUGGAGAGAGAAAAUGAGUUGCUGUCAUGAAGCACCAAGAUGAAAAGUGCAGCAUUCACAGGAUAAAAAUAUGGAGUGUUGUGAAAUCCAGAAUCAUAAGUAAGAGGAGAACCUGAGAGUGUAAACCCGAAUCCUCAAAGACCUGAGGGAUUGCUCAAUUAAAGCCAGCUCAUCAAAGAACAGUGGCUUGCUUUCGUGUGUGUGUGGAUAGAUGCCCAUUGAUCCAUUAGAAUUAAGUGGGUAAGUUACAGUUUAUUUUGAUGAUUUAAAAAUAUAUUUAAACAUAGUUUAGUCAUUUAAUAAUAUAGUGUACUUUUCACACUGUUUUAAAGAGCGUGUUUCCCGUGGAGCUUAAAUUGCGCAUAUAGAUCAGAUGCAAAUACUUCACAUUGCAGGGAAGACAAUUUAUAAAUAUAGGGCUAUUUACAGCCUUUCCGGCUUCUUGAAUCC